AGCGAACGCUGGCGGCAGGCCUAACACAUGCAAGUCGAACGAAGUCUUCGGACUUAGUGGCGGACGGGUGAGUAACACGUGGGAACGUACCUUUUGGUUCGGAACAACUCAGGGAAACUUGAGCUAAUACCGGAUGAGCCCUUAGGGGGAAAGAUUUAUCGCCGAAAGAGCGGCCCGCGUUAGAUUAGCUAGUUGGUGAGGUAAAGGCUCACCAAGGCUACGAUCUAUAGCUGGUCUGAGAGGAUGAUCAGCAACACUGGGACUGAGACACGGCCCAGACUCCUACGGGAGGCAGCAGUGGGGAAUCUUGCGCAAUGGGCGAAAGCCUGACGCAGCCAUGCCGCGUGAAUGAUGAAGGUCUUAGGAUUGUAAAAUUCUUUUACCAGGGACGAUAAUGACGGUACCUGGAGAAAAAGCCCCGGCUAACUUCGUGCCAGCCGCCGCAGUAAGAC
rnacentral:rRNA from 1 species